GUGAGGUGGAACUUGGAAGUAAAGUUUGUGUGAAUUUUAAAGAUGGCGUAACAAACAGUUUAGUAGGAUAAUAUACAGGUUCCUUAUAGUUACAAAAGCAUAUAGGUCCACAGCAUUUAUCCUUACAACAGCAGCGGUGGAUCGACCAGCCACAUCGAACAGUUUCCUCAAAACCAGAACCGCAAAACUUUUGAAAUGUUGAAUUUUGACAUUUCCAGCCGUGCCACACCUCCACACCAGUGCUACCAUGGGUCAAAAAGGGGGUGAGAUUUUGCCGUUCGGAAAUGUGGUGUUCAUCAUUUUGGACAGUCGCACUUUGUUGUUCACGGAAGCGAGGUCGACCAUGAUGUAAUCUGUGUUACGAAGGACAGACAAGUGAUAUGCAUCCACUGACACAGGAGGACAACUGCAACAAUGUGUGCUUCACACUGAAGUUACUCCGUACUUAGUAACAAGCUGAAGUAAUUGUGCAUACAAUUCUGUCCUCUAACUGUAAACAUUUUUGAAAUACUGCAUCAAUAACAUUCAACUGACAUUCUAUGUGAGAAGCUGUUUAUAUUUUGAGGUGUUUAAUACAAAAUACCAUGACACAGUGGUUGCCAUAGGUGCUUCUGUUUUAUACCCAUCAAUAGACGUCUGUACCCGAUUACUUUAGAAACCAUUACUGUGUACAUUUUGCAGUAAUCUUUCAUUGUGUUCUGUUCUCCAGUUGUGAACUAUCGCCUAUAACUGAUGGUAGGUUUUUCUACAUGAUCGUGUACAGACUCAGUAUGUUUAACUGCCGCUCAUAUACAUAAAGG